rnacentral:tRNA from 1 species
CAAAGAGUAGUUUAAAAUAAAAUAAUAAUUUUGGAGAUUAUAGAUAAAUAGUAUAUUUUUCUUUGA